rnacentral:rRNA from 1 species
GUCGAACGGUAGAGGGGGCAACCCCUCGAGAGUGGCGAACGGGUGAGUAAUAUAUCGGAACGUGCCCAGUCGUGGGGGAUAACGUAGCGAAAGUUAUGCUAAUACCGCAUACGAUCUACGGAUGAAAGCGGGGGAUCGCAAGACCUCGCGCGAUUGGAGCGGCCGAUAUCAGAUUAGGUAGUUGGUGAGGUAAAGGCUCACCAAGCCAACGAUCUGUAGCUGGUCUGAGAGGACGACCAGCCACACUGGAACUGAGACACGGUCCAGACUCCUACGGGAGGCAGCAGUGGGGAAUUUUGGACAAUGGACGCAAGUCUGAUCCAGCCAUUCCGCGUGCAGGAUGAAGGCCCUCGGGUUGUAAACUGCUUUUGUACGGAACGAAAAGGUCUCUCUUAAUACGGGGGGCUCAUGACGGUACCGUAAGAAUAAGCACCGGCUAACUACGUGCCAGCAGCCGCGGUAAUACGUAGGGUGCAAGCGUUAAUCGGAAUUACUGGGCGUAAAGCGUGCGCAGGCGGUUAUAUAAGACAGAUGUGAAAUCCCCGGGCUCAACCUGGGAACUGCAUUUGUGACUGUAUAGCUAGAGUACGGUAGAGGGGGAUGGAAUUCCGCGUGUAGCAGUGAAAUGCGUAGAUAUGCGGAGGAACACCGAUGGCGAAGGCAAUCCCCUGGACCUGUACUGACGCUCAUGCACGAAAGCGUGGGGAGCAAACAGGAUUAGAUACCCUGGUAGUCCACGCCCUAAACGAU